AUGGAGCUGAGCAGAACUGCACAGGCUAUCCUAUUCACUGAACAGUUGCACUGGCCAGGUGGUGCAGUGAGGUUGGCUGGGGACACAGAUGCUUCAUUUUACACUUUCUACGAAGUGUCCGGAUGUAAUGAAGUGAGCCGGGAACAAAAUCUGUUCUUCAUUCCUUGGAAAGCUGAGGUUCACGGCCAUUCUAGAUUAUUAUUACAGUGUCAGACUCUAACGUGUUACAAGGGAUGCUCACAACGAUACCCCGUGCAUGUCGACAUCUCAGCGUUGUGUGACAGCAAUACAAAUGACUUGUGGGCUCCUGCUGUGACCAUCCAGGGGAAGACAUUCUCCGCCCCCACCACGGUACCUUCAAAGCUCUUAUCGGCAGGGCUUUCCCACAGGGUAAGCUACGCGGGCAGUCUCCGAUAUUCGCAUCAUUAG
rnacentral:lncRNA from 1 species